AGUCAUAUGCUUGUCUCAAGGAUUAAGCCAUGCAUGUCUCAGUAUAAGCUUCUACACGGCGAAACUGCGAAUGACUCAUUAAAACAGUUAUCGUUUAUUUGGUGGUCAUUCAUUACAUGGAUAACCAUGGUAAUUCUAGAGCUAAUACAUGCGCCCAAACCCAACUUUGUGGAAGGGUUGUGUUUAUUAGGUACAGAACCAACCCAGGCUCUGCCUGGUCUUCUGGUGAUUCAUGAUAACCGAACGAAUCGCAUGGCAUCAGCUGGCGAUGAACCAUUCAAGUUUCUGACCUAUCAGCUUCCGACGGUAGGGUAUUGGCCUACCGUGGCAAUGACGGGUA
rnacentral:rRNA from 1 species